GACAGAGGGUGCAAACGUUGUUCGGAAUUACUGGGCGUAAAGCGCGUGUAGGCGGCUAAGUAAGUCGGGCGUGAAAUCCCACGGCUCAACCGUGGAAGUGCACUCGAAACUGCAUAGCUAGAGUCCUGGAGAGGAGACUGGAAUUUACGGUGUAGCGGUGAAAUGCGUAGAUAUCGUAAGGAAGACCAGUGGCGAAGGCGGGUCUCUGGACAGUUCCUGACGCUGAGGCACGAAGGUCAGGGGAGCAAACGGG
rnacentral:rRNA from 1 species